GCAACCGAUGGAAGAACAUAAGAGGAAGAAAGCAGCUUAUUUACAUAUUCCUAAUCAGGUUAAGGUAUAAUUUUUUUUUUUUUUUUUUUUUUUUAAUGGGAAAAGGAAAUGCCUUCAAGAAUUGAAAGGUCAUUUGAAAAACCUGCUUUCACUUCCUCCGGGAGCCACACCACAUGCUGACCGUGACCUCUGCUCACAUCUGCUGCAAACCCGCGGGUUCAAAAGGAAAGGAGGCCAACGGGUGUGAUCCAGCCCGGAGCCUGGAAGUUUCAAGAGAAGUUAAAUGUCAUCCGUGUUUAAAAAGUCAGAAACAUAUCGUCCCUCUGUUUUUGGCAUCUGCUAUUUACGCAGUAGGUUCACUGCAAAUCUGAGCGCAGGGAGAGGAUUUAGAGUCUAGAUGGCAACACCAGCGGGGUUGGGGGGGCUGAGCUGGGGGAUGUCUUAGCAGUUGUUUGGCUUUGGCUCAGUGAGACCACAGAGCAUCACGGCCCACCUGCUGCUUCCUGACCAGCAAGACCUCGUCGACUCACAGCCCCCCUGGCUUCAGGUGCCCUGGGGGCCGGCAGGUACCAGCCCCAAAUUUAUCAGUUUCCACGGAAGGGACAGUUUGGGCCGAGGGGUCAGCUCUCACAUACCCCGGGGAACGUGCAGAAUCUGCUGUCCAGCCUUCCAGGGAGCUCAAGCGAGGGAGCCACACUCUUCACAGAGCAUCUCAGCUGCCCAGGAGGAAGGUGGACAUUUCAGAGGCCAGGGAGGCCUGAACUUCCUGCUCUUGGCCCUAAGCUCCUGGACUCCUCACCCACUUCUCCGGGGCCAAAGCCCCCAAGGCCUCAGCCCCCAGGGCAUUGGAGAAGGAAAGAAAGCAGACGGCAGAAAGGGUGUCCAGCCUCUUCCCGUGAUCCCUGCUCCGUGAAGCUGGGGUGAGGCCCCAGGGUGAGCCCGGGAAAUAGGGGAGAGGGCAGAGGGCAGAGGACGAAGGGGGACCAGCAACAGGAGAUCUGCCCAAAGGACUGAGGGCACAGCUCUGAGACGUGACUUCCUCUA
ensembl:lncRNA